CUAUAAAGAGACACUGCUUUCAUUUACCCAGCCAGAGGAAAGAGUGGGGAUGGAACGUGUCUACCUGCAAAGGAUUUCCAUGAAAAUGCUCCAUUGGAUUACAAAUUGUCACUAAAGUCUGAAGCUAUGGCACCCCAUGGAGUCUCUAUGAAAGAGAGAAACACAGCGGUCAACAUAAUGAAGAUAUGGGUAAGGUGGAAGUUAAGUCAGUAUCAUUGGUUCCUGACCAGAUCUUGCUUAUUCUACAAGGGCAUCCGCAGGGUAUGAAUGGUCUGCCAGGUUAUAUCCCCAAUGGAACCUUCCCCCAUUUUGAAGCACAGAGUAAUAACUCAUUACAGAAACAAAAUUGCGUACAAACAAGUUGCCAUUUUGCCACAAAUUAGAGAAGAAGAUGAUUUCGGCAAGGAAUCGUGUGAGUAUGCAAGGCAGUAGCCUAAAGUCUAAUGUCAAAUAAAGAAAAAUCCAGUGCCGCAGUCCUGCCUGUGCUUCCAUGGCCUCUAUCUAACCACACAUCAAAUAUGGCCCAUUAAAGGGGUUAGUUAACUCCAAAAUGACGUUUUGGAUGUGAAAAUGGUAUUCUUACAUCAUUUGAAAUGGAUGUUUAGUUUGUAUUUUUUUUUUGUUAAUUAUUAACCUUUUUUUCUGCAGCUUUCUAGUAUUGCAAUGAAGUUGCUGUUUGGUUUGGAUGUCAGAAUGGGGGAUCAAAAUAAGAGUAAAAGAUAAGAGCAAAAUAAGAGUCACUUGGAAAGUUGUUGCAUAAAACAGAUGCAAACUACCAUGGUUUCUGCACAUUUGCAGUCUGCCGCGCUCUUGACAGCAAGGCCAAAAAGACCUGCACUUCCCCCAUGAAUACUGCACUGCUGGAAUAUAGUUCAAAUGCCCUGUGGCAAGUGGUAAUAACAGGGCUACCUUGUAUCGUUCUUGUGAAGCACUCUGCACCUUAAGCCAGGUUUUUAAUCCAAUGCAACAACAAAGCUCCAUUUUAUUUUGCAUCUGGGGCCUUUGUAAGAUAACCCCCCCCCCCCCAUUGUCUCACAGUUAGUAACUAGGCACCUCAAUUGCUUUGUAUGCCAGGUAUGAGAAAGGAAGGAGAGGGCAAUGUUAACAAUGGCAAAAACAAGUUUCUGUGAUUUUAUCAAUCUAUAAAAUAUAAUUUGAAUAUGGCCGUCCCUUUCAUGCGUCAAUGUAGAAGGCCUAACAAAAACAAGGAACAGGCACUGCACAGUUCUCUUAGUAACAAUGUAAUGAACAUGAGAUAACCUGGAUCUGUGUACAUUUUAAAUAACAAUGGCUUCAAACUUGAAAUACAGUAACAGAAGCUUUAUGUUUUUGAUACUGCAUAAUAGAUGGUGUGUCUCCAUGGAUCAGCUAGUAACAGUAAUGGGGACAGAUUCCUGUGGUUAGUAGGUGUUGAAACAACAUUUCUGAUCAGACCAGUUUGUUAAUGCAUUGUUUGGGGCACAUUUUCGAUUACAAUUCCCUGGAAACAAGAGCCAAUUGCCUUGAACAACCUUGAGUAGCAUUUUUUAACCAUAAUAUAGCUAAGUUUGCUUGACAGAGUAGUAACGAUUGUCAGCUUGAUUAAAGCAUAUUUAUAUAAUUGAUCUCAAAGGGCACCCUAAUGAUUUAUGUUGUCACUGUCAGUGGACCUUAAGGCUAAAAAGUUUUCUAAGCAUUUUGCUGAGUAUGUUGAACUAGAUCAGCCAGCUGGAGUGAAACAAUGAUAACAUGAUAUGAAGCAUCAAAGAAGUACUUUUUACUAAUUUAAUGCAUGUCAUUGGUUUAUGGCAAUGUUGGAAAUUAUUUAGGGCAGGGAUCCCUAACCUUUUUUACUCAAGAGCCACACUCAAAUGUAAAAAGUGUUGGUGCACCACACAAGCAUGAAAAAAGUUUUUGGGGAUGCCGAAUAAGGAAUGUAAUUUGGUAGUCCCAUGUGGACUGCUGGCCUUCACGAGGCUCUGCUGUGUCUCUGUGCUUCCAAAACUUGUUGCUAAGCCAGAUAAAAAAAAAAUAGGUGGCUACUUUGAGGAAACUAGAAGCAUCAUUAAAAGGGGUGGUGAGCAUCAUGUUGUUCACAAGCCACUGGUUGGGGAUCACUGCUUUAGGGUGACCAGAUCACUCGAAAAUUCAGGGACACGUCUAGAAAAUCCCGCUAGAAGGGCUGCAUUGUCUGUAAUUAAAUGUAAAUGCAACAUGCAUAUAUUAGAUGUGUCCCUGAAUUUUCAAGUGAUCUGCUCACCCUACAAUGGUACAUUGUAAAGAAAAAGUUGUUGAUAGUUUUGGCAACAUAGUUUAAGUAGCAAAUUUAUCCUGAAAUUGUAUAAUUUCAAUGGAACUUUAAUGGCCAUAUUAUUAAUAAAAUUAUUGGCAGGACAUUUCCCCCCCCAUGAAAUCCUCCUUCCUGCUGCACUCAUGCUGUCUAAUCCAUUAGAAGGAAGGUCGGAAUAAUGAUCAUACAACUUAAAAGGAUGACCUAUGCCACUGCCUCUAAGUGACCCCUAUUUUUUAUAUUGCCUUUCUCAGCUAAAGUAUUCCAACAUAUCAAUUAACACCAAAAUAUUUCCCAAUUAUUGUAUUCAGGUCAUUGUAAAAAAUCCAUAAUACUAAACAAUGAUAUAAACAAACAAAAAAUAAAGACAUUUAAUCUAACUGCAGAACACUAAUGCUUAUUUCUAACAAAAACUGCGUAAAUAUGAUGAAAUAUAUAUAUUAAAGGAUAAUGCAAGUCAAAAUUUAAAAAGCAUACUGCCCAAUA